GAUGAACGCUGGCGGCGUGCCUAAUACAUGCAAGUCGAGCGAACAGACGAGGAGCUUGCUCCUCUGACGUUAGCGGCGGACGGGUGAGUAACACGUGGAUAACCUACCUAUAAGACUGGGAUAACUUCGGGAAACCGGAGCUAAUACCGGAUAAUAUAUUGAACCGCAUGGUUCAAUAGUGAAAGACGGUUUUGCUGUCACUUAUAGAUGGAUCCGCGCCGCAUUAGCUAGUUGGUAAGGUAACGGCUUACCAAGGCAGCGAUGCGUAGCCGACCUGAGAGGGUGAUCGGCCACACUGGAACUGAGACACGGUCCAGACUCCUACGGGAGGCAGCAGUAGGGAAUCUUCCGCAAUGGGCGAAAGCUUGACGGAGCAACGCCGCGUGAGUGAUGAAGGUCUUCGGAUCGUAAAACUCUGUUAUUAGGGAAGAACAAAUGUGUAAGUAACUAUGCACGUCUUGACGGUACCUAAUCAGAAAGCCACGGCUAACUACGUG
rnacentral:rRNA from 1 species